GAGGAAAUGAGCUUCACGGGGAAAGAGCGAGCGAAGAACAAACGUAUGGAGGGAAGGCGAGGAACAGCGAGAUUAAGAGAAAACAAAAGGGCAGCAGAGAAAGCAAAAGCCGAAAGGAAAUCAAGGAAAAAAGAAUGAGUUGGAUGAGAAACCAAGAAAUAGAAAAAGGGUAGAGAAAACAAAAGAAUUAGCCGCAAAUGAACACGAAGCCGGCGAAGCUGCUUGAGGCGGCGGAGCAAACGGAAAGCGG
rnacentral:misc_RNA from 1 species